rnacentral:rRNA from 1 species
GUCGAGCGGUAGAGAGAAGCUUGCUUCUCUUGAGAGCGGCGGACGGGUGAGUAAUACCUAGGAAUCUGCCUGGUAGUGGGGGAUAACGUUCGGAAACGGACGCUAAUACCGCAUACGUCCUACGGGAGAAAGCAGGGGACCUUCGGGCCUUGCGCUAUCAGAUGAGCCUAGGUCGGAUUAGCUAGUUGGUGAGGUAAUGGCUCACCAAGGCUACGAUCCGUAACUGGUCUGAGAGGAUGAUCAGUCACACUGGAACUGAGACACGGUCCAGACUCCUACGGGAGGCAGCAGUGGGGAAUAUUGGACAAUGGGCGAAAGCCUGAUCCAGCCAUGCCGCGUGUGUGAAGAAGGUCUUCGGAUUGUAAAGCACUUUAAGUUGGGAGGAAGGGCAUUAACCUAAUACGUUAGUGUUUUGACGUUACCGACAGAAUAAGCACCGGCUAACUCUGUGCCAGCAGCCGCGGUAAUACAGAGGGUGCAAGCGUUAAUCGGAAUUACUGGGCGUAAAGCGCGCGUAGGUGGUUUGUUAAGUUGAAUGUGAAAUCCCCGGGCUCAACCUGGGAACUGCAUCCAAAACUGGCAAGCUAGAGUAUGGUAGAGGGUAGUGGAAUUUCCUGUGUAGCG